GAGUUUGAGACUGAUUUGAAUAGUUGAGAAUAAAUUUUAAUAAUACUAAUUAGAUUCGAGUUUAAGUAGAAUGAUUUUUAUGGAUACCUUACUCAUUACCAUCCCUAUCCACAAUAACUACAAGUCAACCAAAUUGACCACCCAAAGCUCCGUUUUAACAAGGUUUGGUUGCUGUCAAUUCAUGUGAGCUAUCAGGACAUAUAGUAACACAUCCUUAUCAAAGACAACGAUAACAAUAAUAGGUCAUUCAAAUUUCAUAUUGAAUAUAACGAGUGUGUGGAACGUUUAUAUAAGAUGAGGGAUUUUGAUAAAAU
rnacentral:misc_RNA from 1 species